rnacentral:rRNA from 1 species
UUUGAUCAUAGGCUCAGAUUGNAACGCUGGCUUGGCAGGCCUAACACAUGCAAGUCGAGCGGCAGCACAAGUGAGUUUACUUAUGAGGUGGCGAGCGGCGGACGGGUGAGUAAUGCCUAGGGAUCUGCCCAGUCGAGGGGGAUAACAGUUGGAAACGACUGCUAAUACCGCAUACGCCCUACGGGGGAAAGGAGGGGACCUUCGGGCCUUCCUGCGAUUGGAUGAACCUAGGUGGGAUUAGCUAGCUUGGUNGACGGUAACUGGCUCACCAAGGCGACGAUCCCUAGCUGUAUACUGAGAGGAUGAUUAGCCACAACUGGGACUGAG